UAGAGUGCUAGCCUUGAGCAAAAGAAACUCAGAAAGACAGUGCCUAGGCCCUGAGUUCAAGCCCCAGGACUGGCAAAAAUUAAAAAAAAAAUCAGUAGGAAUUAUUCAGAUAGAAUCCCAAGAUUCUGAGUGAUGACAGGCUUAGGCUUUUCUCAGAAAAUAGUGACUCAAGGCUUAAUGGUAAUGUGAGAAAAAUCCUAGUUUUUCUUUUUCUCCUACUUUUCAUUUAUUUUCACCUCUCCUUUGAUUCUGCAAAUCUGCUAUUUAUUUUUAAUGUAUCAGUUUCUAAGUAGUUAAUGUAUCUUAAUCAAAGUCACCCUGCAGACUAGAUCCUGAUCACUAAUUUGAAGUUCUUGAU